rnacentral:rRNA from 1 species
UACGUAGGGGGCAAGCGUUGUCCGGAUUUAUUGGGCGUAAAGAGCGUGUAGGCGGUUAGGUAGGUCCGUUGUGAAAACUCGAGGCUCAACCUCGAGACGCCGAUGGAAACCAUCUGACUAGAGUCCGGAAGAGGAGAGUGGAAUCCUGGUGUAGCGGUGAAAUGCGCAGAUAUCAGGAAGAACACCCGUGGCUAAGGCGGCUCUCUAGUACGGUACUGACGCUGAGACGCGAAAGCGUGGGGAGCGAACAGG